CCUACGGGAGGCUGCAGUGGGGAAUAUUGCACAAUGGGCGCAAGCCUGAUGCAGCCAUGCCGCGUGUGUGAAGAAGGCCUUCGGGUUGUAAAGCACUUUCAGCGGGGAGGAAGGCGUUAAGGUUAAUAACCUUGUCGAUUGACGUUACCCGCGGAAGAAGCACCGGCUAACUCCGUGCCAGCAGCCGCGGUAAUACGGAGGGUGCAAGCGUUAAUCGGAAUUACUGGGCGUAAAGCGCACGCAGGCGGUCUGUCAAGUCGGAUGUGAAAUCCCCGGGCUCAACCUGGGAACUGCAUUCGAAACUGGCAGGCUAGAGUCUUGUAGAGGGGGGUAGAAUUCCAGGUGGAGCGGUGAAAUGAGUAGAGAUCCGGAGGAAUACCGGUGGCGAAGGCGGCACCCUGGACAAAGACUGACGCUCAGGGGCGAAAGCGUGGGGAGCAAACAGGAUUAGAUACCCCUGUAGUC
rnacentral:rRNA from 1 species